AACUUCAAGACGACAAGAAGAAAAACUGAAAUUCUAAAAAGUAGAACUGGUUCCGUGUGCCUCAUGCCCACCGUCGUCCCAGACUCCCAAUCCCAUCGCAGCCAGGAACAGCCUUGAGCCUUCAACUUCCGAGUUCCAACCUUUUCGGCUUUUUGCUGCCCAGCCUCUCGGCUCUUGUUUGCUCCCCACUGGCUCUCCCCCCUUCUCGCCGUUCUCGGCUUGAGCUUCUCUGAGUUUGAGUUCUCUCCUCCCGUGGCCGUGGGGGCAGUGUUGCAGAAUUCUGACCGCCAAGGCCCAAGGGUCAAGGAGGCAAGGACUUCCCUUCUCUGGUUCCCCGUGCGUCGCCGAGGUCGUCCUCCACCUCCUAGUCCUCCGAUUCCUCCUCCUCCACUGCUUUGGGUGGUGGAGUGAGCGGUGGUGGCAGCGUCGCCUGGACUAAGAGGGUCACGGCUCCGUAUCUUCGGAUGUCGUCGAAUCCGGUCACCCACUGACCCAGGUGAGCCGUGAGCGUUCGACGCUUUCUUUCGUUAGCCGCUUAGCCUGCUCCGUUCAUUUUCUCUGUUUCCUCUCCAAAUGGUUUUUUGGUAUUUUUCGCUUGAGUUUUUCUUCACUCUGCAGUUAUUUUCUCAAAGUUUGUGCCUCCCUCAUGCAAGCGUCCACUCCAAAUCUCCUAUCCACGAUCUUAGCUGCACCUAGUUUGGAGAAUCCAAUCAAAGAAGGAAAGGCCAAUAGAGGCGUCCACUCCAAAUCUCCUACCCGCGAUCUCAGCCGCAUCUAGUUAGGAGAAUCCAGCCAAAGAAGGAAAGACCAAUCAACCCAUUGAACCUUUUCGGCAUGUUUUAGAAUUAUUGCCCUAAAAUUUUGCUUCAACCAACCCAUUGAAUCUUUUCAGCAUUUUUAGAAUUAUUGCCCUAAAAUUUUGCUUUAUUUUUCUUAUCUUUUUACUUAUGUGUGGCUCGCCGUUAUUAUAUAAAGGCUCCACUCCCUUAUAUUAGAUUCAUUGAAGUUUUGAGUAAAAAUUAAAUUGUU
rnacentral:lncRNA from 1 species